GAUUUGAAUCUUAUCAGUCUUCUUUUAUUCCAUAACCCAGUCGGGUUAUGGGUUAUGGAAUAAAAGAAGAUUGAUAAGAUUCAAAUC
rnacentral:miRNA from 1 species